rnacentral:misc_RNA from 1 species
CAAGCAUUGGUGAGAGGCCAUAAUGUGCGCAAGCAAGCACAGAUGACAAUGAGGUGUAUGCAAGCACUAGUACGUGUGCAGGCAAGAGUUAGAGCUCGUAGACUUCAAUUGGCUCAUGAGAAGCUUGAAAGGAAAGUUGAGGAAGAAGAACAAGAAGAAGGAAGGAGAUCAGUGGAUGAAGGAAUAAAUUAUCCGAAGAGCCCAUUAAAGAGUUAUGGAAUGGAAGCUUGGGAUAACAGACAUCAAAGUUCAGAGAGAAUUAACAGGAAACAUGAUGCUGCCAUGAAGAGGGAGAGAGCCCUUGCUUAUGCUUAUGCAUAUCAGCAACAACAGCGGCAGCAUCAACAACUCUUGCAAUCCGACCCAAAUGGUAAAGAGAUAGGAUUCUAUGCAAAUGGAAGGGAAAAGGUGCAAUGGGGUUGGAAUUGGCUUGAGCGAUGGAUGCAAUCACAACCAUACCAUGCUCGUCAUCUGGAGCCAAAUGAAGCUUCUUAUAUGACACUAAACACAACUACAACCACCACAGAUGACAUGUCUGAGAAAACAGUGGAGAUGGACAUGGUCACUCCACCAGCCACGAGUAACAUCAACAAUAGCCGACUGGACAUUUCUCCGUACCCAUCUAAGCAGCAAAGACAAUCAAGCUUAAACACCCAUGUCCCUAGCUACAUGGCUCCAACCCAGUCUGCCAAGGCCAAGUUGCGUAGUCAGAGCACAAUCAAGGAGCGUAAGCCAUGUGUGCCCCAUUGGAACUCAUCCACAAAGAAUGUUGGUUUAGGUUGUGAUUCCUCAAGUUCAGGCGGAGGAACAGCUGUUUACCAGACUCCAAGGAGCCCAAGCCCCAAUAAUAAUGGGAUGCGCCUCCAGUCUAGACAGAUUGCUGGGUAUAGCCCACAUUCCGAUGGUGCUGGAC